rnacentral:rRNA from 1 species
UACGUAGGGCGCAAGCGUUGUCCGGAUUUAUUGGGCGUAAAGAGCUCGUAGGCGGCCUGUUGCGUCGACUGUGAAAACUCACGGCUUAACCGUGGAACUGCAGUCGAUACGGGCAGGCUAGAGUUCGGUAGGGGAGACUGGAAUUCCUGGUGUAGCGGUGAAAUGCGCAGAUAUCAGGAGGAACACCGGUGGCGAAGGCGGGUCUCUGGGCCGAAACUGACGCUGAGGAGCGAAAGCGUGGGGAGCGAACAGG